rnacentral:rRNA from 1 species
UACGAGUGCCCCAAGCGUUAUCCGGAAUCAUUGGGCGUAAAGGGUGUGUAGGUGGCGAUACUAGUCUUCUGUUAAAACCUCGGGCUUAACCCGAGAUCUGCAGGGGAAACGGUAUCGCUCGAGGAUGCGAGGGGUCAGUGGAACUCAUGGAGUAGGGGUGAAAUCCGUUGAUAUCAUGGGGAACACCAAAAGCGAAGGCAACUGACUGGCGCAUUCCUGACACUGAAACACGAAAGCGUGGGUAGCGAACUGG